rnacentral:snRNA from 1 species
GGAUGUGAGGGCGAUCUGGCUGCGACAUCUGUCACCCCAUUGAUCGCCAGGGUUGAUUCGGCUGAUCUGGCUGGCUAGGCGGGGGUGCCCCCCCCCCCCCC